rnacentral:rRNA from 1 species
UACGAAGGGGGCUAGCGUUGCUCGGAAUCACUGGGCGUAAAGCGCACGUAGGCGGACUCUUAAGUCGGUGGUGAAAUCCUGGAGCUCAACUCCAGAACUGCCUUCGAUACUGAGAGUCUCGAGUCCGGGAGAGGUGAGUGGAACUGCGAGUGUAGAGGUGAAAUUCGUAGAUAUUCGCAAGAACACCGGUGGCGAAGGCGGCCAACUGGUCCGGAUCUGACGCUGAGGAGCGAAAAGCGUGGGGAGCGAACAGG